rnacentral:rRNA from 1 species
CCCUAUUAUUUUUAAAUUAGAUUUUACUAUUAAAGUAGUUAUUUUCUUAGAAUAAAAAGAAUUUGGCGGUAAUUUAGUCUAACCAGAGGAAUUUGUAAUUUAAUCGAUAUGACCCGUUGAAUUUCACUUACUUUUAAAGUUUGUAUACCGUCAUUAUCAGAUAAUAUUAAAAAAUAAUUAUCAAGGUUAAUUAAAUUACAAAAAUUAGAUCAUGGUGCAGCUGAUAAGAAAGCAAUUAUAAAUUACAAUAAAGAUAUUUACACGGAUUAUUUAUUAGAAUGAUUUUAUAAAGGAGGAUUUGGUUGUAUUUUAAGUUUAAAAUGCUUUUAAGACAUAAGGUUUAAAUUAUGUACAC